AUAACAUGCGUCAGUUACAGUUCGUGGCGGCUAGAUAGAAUUCCUUUUUUGGCACUCUUCUAUAACACUUAGGAUCUCAACUGCCUUUCACUCCAGGUGUUUCCUGUUGUUCUCACUAUGAGGCCCAGGAUCAGAUGUGGCACAUACUGAAUACAUCCUGUUCCUGUAUCUGUAGGGAUUUAUACCAAAUCUACACAAGUGGAAAAAAUUAAGGUCAUUUGUUGCAGAGAAAGGAUUGAUGGACAAUGUGGAGGAUAUGUGGGAGGAAACUGACGUCAAACCACUGAAGUAAACAUGUUUUCAGAGAUAAUGAAGAACUGCAUGUGGGAAAGUGUACGAAACAGAUAAAAGCCACGUGUGUGUGUGUGUGUGUGUGAGAGGGUCAUUUUCUAAAGUAUCAGAUUAUAAAGUCAAAGAGAAAACAACUUUACCAUAAAAAACAGGCUGCGGAGCAUCCACACUUCUUAAAUCAGUAGUAUAUAACUGUCACAUGUAAAUGUGUAACAGCAGCAGUUAUAACAGUCGUGAUUGUGUUUUUGAAUGCAUGUCCAAGGUGUAGUUUAUACCCUUGACUGUCGGAGGGGCUUUUUCAACCCAGGUACGUGAUCCAUGGUCCAAUCAGCAGCCCACUGCACUUCAGUAGAGGAACAACCUGCAGAAAUUCUUAAAACACAGGACAAAACACAAGCAGCUAACACAGACUUCUUAUGGCAACUGUUGGGAGAAAGAAGUGAUGAAAUAGAUGUCGGCUUUCUCACCCAACCAUGGACAUGCCGUUGGAAAGCUGACAGCUCACAGAUUCUGAUGACGGGUCUACACUUUGUGUUUACGUCUUUUUUUGCGCUAGAUUCUGAAGCUGCAGGUCUUAUCACUCUCCAACCAAAAUUAACUGAACCAGCAGCAAAAGAAGAUCCCAACUACAUUUCACAAUUCGCGUCACAUAAACACCGUCAUGAAUUCCCUACGUUAAGAAGUGGCUCGGCCUUCCAAAAUGCCUCCGCAGCGCUAGACUCUACAGCGACGGGAUACUGUCAUUGCCCAUUGCUAGUCUGGUAGAGGAGUUUAAAUGUGCAAAAGUGAGGCUUGAGAUGUCACUCAUGGACUCCCGGGACCCCAUAGUGAGAGGCACUGCUCCCACCUUGGAAAGGGGAGGAAGUGGACUCCAGCCACAUCUGUGCUACAGGCCAAAUCUGCUCUUCGCCAUCAUGACGUGGUGGGUCACAUCCAACAGGGCAGAGGAGGAUUUGGUCUUGGAACAGUAACACCUCUGUGGCAACAGGCAUCCGUAACCAAACGUCGGAAAAUGGUGAUGGUGGAGGUGCGUCAACAGGAGGAAACAGCCAGACAUGCCAGAGCCGUAGCGCUGGCCAAGCAGGGUCACUGGAUGAAUUGGGAGAGUGUUGAAAAGAGGAACUCUCAUGGAGUGAAAUCUGAGGAAUGGAGUCUAAUAGACUAAGUUUCAUCAUCUGAGCGACAUACGAUGUGCUACCUUCCCCAAUAAAUCUGCAGCUGUGGUUUGGAAAGGACCCAUCCUGCCCCCUGUGUACAGUCCCAGCAAUACUCAAGCACAUCUUGGUUGGUUGUAGGACUAGCCUUACUCAGGGCAGAGACACAUGGAGACACAACCAGGUCCUCAGGUGUCUAGCCAAGAAAGUUGAGUGCAAGAGAAAAUCCAUCAACACUCAACCUUUCACAAACCAAGAGGAUCGUCGGCCUUCAUCAACAUUUGUCCGGGAGGGAGACAAGCCGAGGACAAGCCCCUCAACCCCGGACCUGGGCCCGCUGAAGGUUGCCAGGGAUUGGUAGAUGCAAGUGGACUUGGAUCAGAGGCUAAUGUUUCCCUCAAACAUCGUAACAACUACUCUGAGACCAGACCUCAUCCUUUGGUCCAACUCCCGAAAACUUGCGUACGUCAUUGAGCUGACGGUACCAUGGGAGGAAGCAAUUGAGCGUAAGAAGCUGCGGUAUGCCAACUUGGCAGCUGAGGCAGAGAACAGAGGCUGGAAGAUCAAGGUGCGCCCAGUGGAAGUGGGGUGCAGGGGCUUUGUUGCCAGUACAACAGCAAAACUGCUUAGAGAGAUUGGGAUCAGAGGACAGCGCAAUGGCAGGCUAUAAGAGAAUUAGCUAACACUGCUGAAAGGACCAGUCACUGGCUAUGGUUAAAAAGGGCUGACAUCACUUUGGCAGCUAAGGCAGUCAGCUAACCGCGGCACACAUGCCCAGGAUGGAUCAUCCCGUGGAGGGCAUGCCUAAGUAGAGGGCUCUUCUUCUCUUUCCUGGGAGGCAGUGGGGAGGUAGAGCGUACAGCCUGAUCUGGCGGAGAGGUAUGGGAAGCCAGAUUGGGCGCCCCCCUUCCGGCUCUCCUCUCUGCUCUCUCCUAUCUUGUCUCUUUUGUUUUACUUCUCUCCAUCACCUUUUCUAUCCCUUUAAAGAAGUGAGCCUCCAUAAAUGUUAAAGAGGUAAGUAUUACUUGUCAGUAGCAAGGAAUUGAUAGAAGAAAAUAAAUUGUAGAAAACUAAACAGAAGAAAGAAGAGAAAAAACAAUUUAACAUAAACCAGUGACACACUCCAGGGCCUGAUCAACCCUGGCAGAGCCUCCUUGGAUGAGGGUGUCUAGUGAUAAAGGCCGAAACACCUGAUGAUUCCAAGGUCCACUACUGACGAUGUGUCCCAAAAUUGAAUAUGAUAAUCUAGAUCAGAUCUCUAAUCCCUACACAUAACCAAGGAAGGUUAAAAAAUGGCAGAUUAGCCUGGGUAAAAGACCAAAAAACCCUGUUAAGUUCAGGCAUACAACGAUGUGUCCUGCUGGUAAAGUUUAUGGGCUGCCUUUCCUCAUAACAGCCAUCCCUCAAGACUUUCUCUAUUCGAAGCAGUGCAUUAUCAGGGAUUGUAACAUCUAGUCCUUUUACUGAACCACCACAAUAAAAUCCCACUUCCUGCUGAGCUCUCUCUCUCUCAGUGUACUUCAAGAACAGUUUCCCAUCUAAACAUCUCUCUUUUCUGCAUUAUUCGCUUGCUUAUUCCACACCAGUCUACCUUUGUGUACAGCACUGUUGGCCGCUGUUUUUUUUUAUUUUUAUUUAACUGUCUUCUUCUACUGCAGAAUAGUUUUUAGGUUAUCUGCUUUAAAAAGCCAGGCCAGGAAAAUCUCCUUCAUCUUUGUCUGUGUUUUAUGUUCAGUUACUUUGACGCAAAGGCAUCUGCUGUGAUGCUUACACCUCUGAUGAAGUGUCACAAGUGUCAGCUUUCUUUUUAUAGAUGUAAAAAUAUGGAUAUGUACUGAUAAAUGAUCAGAAUUAUAAUAAUUUCUGACUGUCUGAGGCACAAUUUCCCCAAUCCAAAUCAAAUCGUGGAUCGAAUCGAAUCAGGACCUUGUGAAUUAGAAUCGAAUCGAUUCUAGAAAUCAGUGACGAUACCCAGCCCUGGCGGAGCAUUCACAGGCUUUGUGUAUUAGUUGCUGUUUCCUAAAAACAAUCAAGUGUUUGAAUGAAAUCCCUUUUCUCAUUAAAUGUCAAAGACCUAAAUUUAUAGUACUGAGGAUUUUCCAGCCAGUUUGUGCAAAAAUAACAUUAAAAACUAUAGUGGAACCCCCGACUUAGGAAAUUAAUUCAUUCCCGAGGGUCUUUCGUAAGUCGAAAAUUUUCGUAAGUCAAAGCACCCAUCGCGUGUUUUGACUGAGGCGAUGCUGAACGAUCUGUUCAUCCCAGUGUGGAGUCCAUGCAACUCUGGCCCACAAUAAAUGAAAAACAUAAAAAUGACAAACAGUUUCCCUCAACAGCCACUUCAAAAUCAUACGUAAUAGUGGGGUAAAACUGAAAGUAUGAAGCAAAGUAUAGUAAAAAUAAACUACUGAUAAUUACUCAAAAUAUUUAAAUCUUCACUAAGAUGGGUCAAUUACAAAACACAUAUUCAUAAAAAAGUAACUUUUCCCAGGAUAGCUGAAAACACUAUUUAACGUGCCGCCUUAGGUGACGAACUCAUUAUAAACAUAACACAAAAUCUCUAACAUUUACACGUACCUAAAAGACAAAAUGCAGCAGCAGGCCUCUCUGCUGUGGAGGGUGAGGAGUGACAAAAUGAAUUAAUUAAAUACACCAUUAAAUAAUUAAUUAAAUGCCCAUUCGUUUCAUUUACAACAUUUACUAAAUUAUUUAUUUCAAUUUUUAAUUAAUUAUUGACACGUUUGAUUAAUUAUUUAAUGAUGAAUUUGUCAUACAUCUGUGUUCAUGAAUUCAUUUUAUCUGUCAGCCUUAUCCAUCAAGCUCAGGGGGCGGGGUUAAUGCUGCCACUGCAGCUUGUCUAACAUCUGAUUGGUUACCCUGCAAAGUAAGUGAAGACAGGGCCUAAAUAAUCAAUUGCUAUGAACUGGUGUGUGGACUUGGGGCAGCCAGGUAUCCCAGAAUGCAUUUCAAAACACAAUGUUUUCUACAGUCAUUGGAGCAAUCGUGCUGGCGCCCUAAAAUGUAAGUAAAGUUUUAAAAUACCGCGUUUUUCUGUCACCAACUACAUUUUUAAUAAUUUUUUAGCCACAAAUGUAGUAAUGUAAUCUUCACGUUUGUUCAGGUUGUGAAAAUUCAGCACAGGCGAUGUUUUCGGUGAUGUCGCUAGCUCUGCUAACAGUCAGCUGACAGAGUGUACUGAGCUCACAGCCCCGGUGUUCUAGCUUAGCUGAUUUUGACAAUAACUGGGAAGAUUAACAUAAAGUGACUGACCUGGGUUAAAGAUGACAAACAGGAUUUAAAAGGCAGUUAGAAAACUACAGAGCACUUUAUCAGUGGCUGAUUAUCCAAUCACUGGCACACAGCUUUAAAACCACUGAGUUUUAGCUCUCAGUGGUUAAACAUUGGACUCAAUUCACUCAGGUUCUGUCUGUCAGGUUGUGCUUACUUCGCUGUUUUAUUUACAGCUGAGCAAAUCGGUUUGGCACAGAUUAAAGUUAAGUUUCAUGACUGCGUAGUUUUACUGAAGUUUAUUGUCUCACUGGCACACAUGUUAGACUGAAACAUUCGGUUUUCUUUAUCUGGUGUUCGUAUGUGUUACGUUUUUUUCUUUUUAAUCGUGAAUUUUGAAUUAAAACUAACAUUAAAAAUCUUUUUUAUAUGAGGAUGUCAAUGGAAAAUUGUACUUAGUAGUCAGUAUAAGCUUUUAAUGAUAUAAGUUUACAUGUGAUAGAACACUGCAUGAUGACCUUUGUAUGACUUAGACUGUUGUCCACUAUAAGAUUUGUUUCUGUUUUAUAAAUUCUUUCCCACAGCGAUAAUAGCUGAACAAGCAGUUUAUCUCCUACCAGGAAGAGGAGAGCUGGACACUUUUAUCAGCGCUCCCUCACAAGAAGAGGGGCCGCGUCCUUCAGAAUCACACACACACACAAAAUACACCUAACAUACGCACAUACAUACGCACCAACAUUCCUCUGUCUAUUCACUAUUGUAUUACUUUUGUAUAUAAAUAAAAACCCGGGCAGUGGCAGAGCGCACAUCGCAGGGCCCCCACUCUGGUGUGAGCGUUCUGUGAUCGCCCUUGCAAGUAAAAACUGCAGCGUGUGUGUCUCCACUCUCUGACUCUCAGCUGAAGAAGUGUCUCUUAGAAUAAAUCUCUUGACAGAGGAGGAACGAGAAAGCACAUUUUCCACCGAGAGGAGCAGCAUCUGAACCAGCAUGCUGAUCAUGAAGACUCCAGUCUGUCCAGAAAUAUCCACUGUUUAAUAUUUAUUCAACUGUAGAAUUUUCUGAGUUUACUAAAAUAAAAAUAAAAUC
ensembl:lncRNA